rnacentral:rRNA from 1 species
UACGAAGGGGGCUAGCGUUGUUCGGAAUUACUGGGCGUAAAGCGCACGUAGGCGGACAUUUAAGUCAGGGGUGAAAUCCCAGAGCUCAACUCUGGAACUGCCUUUGAUACUGGGAAUCUCGAGUCCGGGAGAGGUGAGUGGAACUGCGAGUGUAGAGGUGAAAUUCGUAGAUAUUCGCAAGAACACCAGUGGCGAAGGCGGCUCACUGGCCCGGUACUGACGCUGAGGUGCGAAAGCGUGGGGAGCAAACAGG